GACGAACGCUGGCGGCGUGCCUAAUACAUGCAAGUCGAGCGCAGGAAACUGACAGAACUCUUCGGAGGGAAGGCAGCGGAAUGAGCGGCGGACGGGUGAGUAACACGUAAGGAACCUGCCUCAAGGAUUGGGAUAACUCCGAGAAAUCGGAGCUAAUACCGGAUAGUUCAUCGGACCGCAUGGUCUCAUGAUGAAAGGCGCUCCGGCGUCACCUUGAGAUGGCCUUGCGGUGCAUUAGCUAGUUGGUGGGGUAACGGCCCACCAAGGCGACGAUGCAUAGCCGACCUGAGAGGGUGAUCGGCCACACUGGGACUGAGACACGGCCCAGACUCCUACGGGAGGCAGCAGUGGGGAAUCUUCCACAAUGGACGAAAGUCUGAUGGAGCAACGCCGCGUGAGUGAUGAAGGUUUUCGGAUCGUAAAACUCUGUUGUAAGGGAAGAACACGUACGAGAGGGAAUGCCCGUACCUUGACGGUACCUUACGAGAAAGCCACGGCUAACUACGUGCCAGCCGCCGCAGUAAGAC
rnacentral:rRNA from 1 species